UACGGGGGGGGGCAAGCGUUGUCCGGAAUUAUUGGGCGUAAAGAGCUCGUAGGCGGUCUGUUGCGUCCGCUGUGAAAACUCGGGGCUUAACCCCGAGCCUGCAGUGGAUACGGGCAGACUAGAGGUAGGUAGGGGAGAAUGGAAUUCCCGGUGUAGCGGUGAAAUGCGCAGAUAUCGGGAGGAACACCGGUGGCGAAGGCGGUUCUCUGGGCCUUACCUGACGCUCAGGCGCGACAGCGUGGGGAUCAAACAGG
rnacentral:rRNA from 1 species